rnacentral:rRNA from 1 species
GAUGAACGCUGGCGGCGUGCUUAACACAUGCAAGUCGAACGGUGAAGCAGGAGCUUGCUCCUGUGGAUCAGUGGCGAACGGGUGAGUAACACGUGAGCAAUCUGCCCUGGACUCUGGGAUAAGCGUUGGAAACGACGUCUAAUACCGGAUACGAGGCGUGGGGGCAUCCCCAACGCCUGGAAAGAACUUCGGUCCAGGAUGAGCUCGCGGUCUAUCAGGUAGUUGGUGAGGUAACGGCUCACCAAGCCUACGACGGGUAGCCGGCCUGAGAGGGUGACCGGCCACACUGGGACUGAGACACGGCCCAGACUCCUACGGGAGGCAGCAGUGGGGAAUAUUGCACAAUGGGCGCAAGCCUGAUGCAGCAACGCCGCGUGAGGGACGACGGCCUUCGGGUUGUAAACCUCUUUUAGCAGGGAAGAAGCGAAAGUGACGGUACUUGCAGAAAAAGCACCGGCUAACUACGUGCCAGCCGCCGCAGUAACAC